GACGAACCGUGCGAGCGUUAUUCGGAAUCACUGGGCUUAAAGCGCGUGUAGGUGGGACGGCACGUCGGUCGUUGAAAUCCCCCGGCUCAACCGGGGAAGGGGCGCCGAUACGACCGUCCUGGAGGGACGUAGGGGGACCUGGAACUUCCGGUGGAGCGGUGAAAUGCGUUGAGAUCGGAAGGAACGCCCGUGGCGAAAGCGAGGUCCUGGACGUUUUCUGACACUGAGACGCGAAAGCCAGGGGAGCGAACGGG
rnacentral:rRNA from 1 species